rnacentral:rRNA from 1 species
AACCUGCACACAGGUGCUGCAUGGCUGUCGUCAGCUCGUGUCGUGAGAUGUUGGGUUAAGUCCCGCAACGAGCGCAACCCUUGCCAUUAGUUGCUACGAAAGGGCACUCUAAUGGGACUGCCGGUGACAAACCGGAGGAAGUGGGGAUGACGUCAAGUCCUCAUGGCCCUUAUAGUGGGGCUACACACGUCAUACAAUGGUCGGUACAGAGGGUUGCCAACCCGCAGGGGGAGCUAAUCCCACAAAGCCGAUCGUAGUCCGGAUCGCAGUCUGCAACUCGACUGCGUGAAGUCGGAAUCGCUAGUAAUCGUGGAUCAGCAUGUCACGGUGAAUACGUUCCCGGGUCUU